rnacentral:pre_miRNA from 1 species
AGGAGGAAAAACCACAGUGGCGGAGCCAGCUCUGGAGCCCAGGCUUCAGCCCCCGCAGUAACUAUGGAGCUCUCUGUCCACAGGGCCUGGAUGCUCCGGGGGCGC